GUUAAGCGACUAAGCGUACACGGUGGAUGCCCUGGCAGUCAGAGGCGAUGAAGGACGUGCUAAUCUGCGAUAAGCGUCGGUAAGGUGAUAUGAACCGUUAUAACCGGCGAUUUCCGAAUGGGGAAACCCAGUGUGAUUCGUCACACUAUCAUUAACUGAAUCCAUAGGUUAAUGAGGCGAACCGGGGGAACUGAAACAUCUAAGUACCCCGAGGAAAAGAAAUCAACCGAGAUUCCCCCAGUAGCGGCGAGCGAACGGGGAGCAGCCCAGAGCCUGAAUCAGUGUGUGUGUUAGUGGAAGCGUCUGGAAAGGCGCGCGAUACAGGGUGACAGCCCCGUACACAAAAAUGCACAUGCUGUGAGCUCGAUGAGUAGGGCGGGACACGUGGUAUCCUGUCUGAAUAUGGGGGGACCAUCCUCCAAGGCUAAAUACUCCUGACUGACCGAUAGUGAACCAGUACCGUGAGGGAAAGGCGAAAAGAACCCCGGCGAGGGGAGUGAAAAAGAACCUGAAACCGUGUACGUACAAGCAGUGGGAGCACGCUUAGGCGUGUGACUGCGUACCUUUUGUAUAAUGGGUCAGCGACUUAUAUUCUGUAGCAAGGUUAACCGAAUAGGGGAGCCGAAGGGAAACCGAGUCUUAACUGGGCGUUAAGUUGCAGGGUAUAGACCCGAAACCCGGUGAUCUAGCCAUGGGCAGGUUGAAGGUUGGGUAACACUAACUGGAGGACCGAACCGACUAAUGUUGAAAAAUUAGCGGAUGACUUGUGGCUGGGGGUGAAAGGCCAAUCAAACCGGGAGAUAGCUGGUUCUCCCCGAAAGCUAUUUAGGUAGCGCCUCGUGAAUUCAUCUCCGGGGGUAGAGCACUGUUUCGGCAAGGGGGUCAUCCCGACUUACCAACCCGAUGCAAACUGCGAAUACCGGAGAAUGUUAUCACGGGAGACACACGGCGGGUGCUAACGUCCGUCGUGAAGAGGGAAACAACCCAGACCGCCAGCUAAGGUCCCAAAGUCAUGGUUAAGUGGGAAACGAUGUGGGAAGGCCCAGACAGCCAGGAUGUUGGCUUAGAAGCAGCCAUCAUUUAAAGAAAGCGUAAUAGCUCACUGGUCGAGUCGGCCUGCGCGGAAGAUGUAACGGGGCUAAACCAUGCACCGAAGCUGCGGCAGCGACGCUGAUGCGUUGUUGGGUAGGGGAGCGUUCUGUAAGCCUGUGAAGGUGUGCUGUGAGGCAUGCUGGAGGUAUCAGAAGUGCGAAUGCUGACAUAAGUAACGAUAAAGCGGGUGAAAAGCCCGCUCGCCGGAAGACCAAGGGUUCCUGUCCAACGUUAAUCGGGGCAGGGUGAGUCGACCCCUAAGGCGAGGCCGAAAGGCGUAGUCGAUGGGAAACAGGUUAAUAUUCCUGUACUUGGUGUUACUGCGAAGGGGGGACGGAGAAGGCUAUGUUGGCCGGGCGACGGUUGUCCCGGUUUAAGCGUGUAGGCUGGUUUUCCAGGCAAAUCCGGAAAAUCAAGGCUGAGGCGUGAUGACGAGGCACUACGGUGCUGAAGCAACAAAUGCCCUGCUUCCAGGAAAAGCCUCUAAGCAUCAGGUAACAUCAAAUCGUACCCCAAACCGACACAGGUGGUCAGGUAGAGAAUACCAAGGCGCUUGAGAGAACUCGGGUGAAGGAACUAGGCAAAAUGGUGCCGUAACUUCGGGAGAAGGCACGCUGAUAUGUAGGUGAAGCGACUUGCUCGUGGAGCUGAAAUCAGUCGAAGAUACCAGCUGGCUGCAACUGUUUAUUAAAAACACAGCACUGUGCAAACACGAAAGUGGACGUAUACGGUGUGACGCCUGCCCGGUGCCGGAAGGUUAAUUGAUGGGGU
rnacentral:rRNA from 1 species